GGAGGAAAAGAAAGCAACUGCGAUUGCCCUAGUAACGGCAAGUGAAGCGGCAGCAGCCCAGAUUUGGAAUCUGGUCCUUUUGGGGCCCGAGUUGUAAUCUGCAGAGGAAGCGUCUGGUGCGGUGCCGGCCUAGUUCCCUGGAACGGGACGCCGUAGAGGGUGACAGCCCCGUACGGUCGGCCACCAAACCUGUGUGUCGCUCCUUCGAAGAGUCGCGUAGUUUGGGAAUGCUGCGCAAAGUGGGAGGUAUGCUCCUCCUAAGGCUAAAUACCGGCCAGAGACCGAUAGCGCACAAGUAGAGUGAUCGAAAGAUGAAAAGCACCUUGAAAAUGGGGUUAAAAAGUACGUGAAAUUGCCAAAGGGGAAGCGCUCGUGGCCAGACUCGUGCCUUAUGGAUCAUCCGGCUAUUUCGCCGGUGCACUCUAUUAGGCUCGGGCCAGCGUCGGUCGGCGCCGGUACUAAAAGACAGCGUGAACGUGGCUCUCUUCGGGGAGUGUUAUAGCGCGCUGUGUAAUGUGCUGGCGCCGUCCGAGGACCGCGCAUUUAUGCAAGGACGCUGGCGUAAUGGCCACUAGCGGCCCGUCUUGAAACACGGACCAAGGAGUCGCCCAGAGACGCGAGUGUGCGGGUGACAAACCCCUGCGCGAAGUGAAAGCGAACGCUGGUGGGAACCCUCACGGGUGCACCACCGACCGAUCCUGAUGUCUUCGGAUGGAUUUGAGUAUGAGCGUUUCUGGUCGGACCCGAAAGAGGGUGAACUAUGCUUGGGUAGGGUGAAGCCAGAGGAAACUCUGGUGGAGGCCCCGUUUGGGUUCUGACGUGCAAAUCGAUCCAUAAACCUGGGCAUAGCGGCGUGAA
rnacentral:rRNA from 1 species